rnacentral:rRNA from 1 species
GAUGAACGCUGGCGGCGUGCCUAAUACAUGCAAGUCGAGCGAACAGACGAGGAGCUUGCUCCUCUGACGUUAGCGGCGGACGGGUGAGUAACACGUGGAUAACCUACCUAUAAGACUGGGAUAACUUCGGGAAACCGGAGCUAAUACCGGAUAAUAUAUUGAACCGCAUGGUUCAAUAGUGAAAGACGGUUUCGCUGUCACUUAUAGAUGGAUCCGCGCCGCAUUAGCUAGUUGGUAAGGUAACGGCUUACCAAGGCAACGAUGCGUAGCCGACCUGAGAGGGUGAUCGGCCACACUGGAACUGAGACACGGUCCAGACUCCUACGGGAGGCAGCAGUAGGGAAUCUUCCGCAAUGGGCGAAAGCCUGACGGAGCAACGCCGCGUGAGUGAUGAAGGUCUUCGGAUCGUAAAACUCUGUUAUUAGGGAAGAACAAAUGUGUAAGUAACUAUGCACGUCUUGACGGUACCUAAUCAGAAAGCCACGGCCAACUACGUG